UACGUAGGUGGCAAGCGUUGUCCGGAUUUACUGGGCGUAAAGAGCGCGCAGGCGGUUGGAUAAGUCGAAUGUGAAAGCCCCCGGCUCAACUGGGGAGGGUCAUUCGAUACUGUCCGACUCGAAGGCAGGAGAGGGAAGCGGAAUUCCCGGUGUAGUGGUGAAAUGCGUAGAUAUCGGGAGGAACACCAGUGGCGAAGGCGGCUUUCUGGCCUGUUCUUGACGCUGAGGCGCGAAAGCCAGGGGAGCAA
rnacentral:rRNA from 1 species